rnacentral:rRNA from 1 species
UGGCGGACGGGUGAGUAACGCGUGGGUAACCUGCCUCAUACAGGGGGAUAACAGUUAGAAAUGACUGCUAAUACCGCAUAAGACCACAGAGCCGCAUGGCUCGGUGGGAAAAACUCCGGUGGUAUGAGAUGGACCCGCGUCUGAUUAGGUAGUUGGUGGGGUAACGGCCUACCAAGCCAACGAUCAGUAGCCGACCUGAGAGGGUGACCGGCCACAUUGGACUGAGACACGGCCAA